AUUUUAUUUUUCAUGUGAAUCCAUUUGAUUUCUAUCGCAUGGUUUAGGUAUUUAAGGUAUCGGAUCCUAAGUGGAAUCAGUUGAACUAUCAAGAUGAAGCUAACUCCAUUUGUCAUCUUAUUGUUUGUUCUUGUUGCAGCGUGCACCGUUGCUUCCCAAAGUACAUCUACAGUAGUCAAAAAUAAUAAAGCGUUGGGAAUUAAAACUAUUGAUGCACUUUUGAAGAGUCAAAAACAGAAGCCUUCCGUCAUAACAGAAGUCGGAGAUUUCUUGGAUUGAGAGCUACAGGAUACUGACAAUAAUAUUACAAAAUUGUGCAAGAAGGGAUAUGAUAUGCAAUAAUACCAAAUGA